UACAGAGGUGGCAAGCGUUGUUCGGAAUUACUGGGCGUAAAGGGCGCGUAGGCGGCCGGCUAAGUCUUGUGUGAAAUCCCUCGGCUCAACUGAGGAACCGCACGGGAAACUGGCUGGCUCGAGUUCGGGAGAGGGAAGCGGAAUUCCGGGUGUAGCGGUGAAAUGCGUAGAUAUCCGGAGGAACACCGGUGGCGAAGGCGGCUUCCUGGACCGAUACUGACGCUGAGGCGCGAAAGCUAGGGGAGCAAACGGG
rnacentral:rRNA from 1 species